UAGGAGCAAUGCAGGGUGGAAGCUGAGGUCCUCACCGGGGCAGUGCAGCAAGGUGUGCAGUUCUGAGCACACGGGCAGCCUUAUGAACGAGCAUACGAUUCCUCAUGAGAUUUAAGCAGUUCUCUGUUAAGCUACAUUUUGAAAUUCAGCCUUCAACACGAAUGGUCGCCAUGCUUGCAGCUAGGAAGCAGUUUGCUCGGCAGGGCUGCGUUUUGUUCAGAGCCUGCAUUUGGCUAGAGGACCUAUAAACAGCAAAAGUAUUUCAUAAGGUUACAUGAUAGGCAACUGGGCUGGGAUUCUCAUCCGCCUUGUGUUAUUUUUUUUCAGUAAUAACCUGUGAUGAAUUGUCCCUCUUUAAUUUUCACUGCAUCAUAGCUUGAAAAUGGAUACUGAUUCCUACUAAUGUUUUUGUUAUUCAGAAAUAUUUGUUGAAAACUUGGCAGAAAUAACGUGCAGGUGAUGGGACAUUCAAAACCUUUUUGUCUAUCGGUCACGUCAGUGAUGUGACUGCAGUGAUG
rnacentral:lncRNA from 1 species